rnacentral:rRNA from 1 species
CCUACGGGGGGCUGCAGUGGGGAAUAUUGGACAAUGGGCGAAAGCCUGAUCCAGCCAUGCCGCGUGUGUGAAGAAGGCCUUCGGGUUGUAAAGCACUUUCAGUGGGGAAGAAAGCCUUGGGGCUAAUACCCUCGAGGAAGGACAUCACCCACAGAAGAAGCACCGGCCAACUCCGUGCCAGCAGCCGCGGUAAUACGGAGGGUGCGAGCGUUAAUCGGAAUUACUGGGCGUAAAGCGCGCGUAGGCGGUCUGAUAAGCCGGUUGUGAAAGCCCCGGGCUCAACCUGGGAACGGCAUCCGGAACUGUCAGGCUAGAGUGCAGGAGAGGAAGGUAGAAUUCCCGGUGUAGCGGUGAAAUGCGUAGAGAUCGGGAGGAAUACCAGUGGCGAAGGCGGCCUUCUGGACUGACACUGACGCUGAGGUGCGAAAGCGUGGGUAGCAAACAGGAUUAGAUACCCCAGUAGUC